CUUAAAGCCCCUUGCUUACACCAAGAGAAUGUCCGUGAAAUUCAGACCAUUCUGA
rnacentral:tRNA from 1 species